GGCGUGAUCACUCCUCCAGCA
rnacentral:siRNA from 1 species